rnacentral:rRNA from 1 species
UCUUGGCCAGCCUUCUGAAAGGAAGAUUAAUCCAGGAUGGCAUCAUGAGUUCACAUGUCCGCAUGAUUAAAGGUAUUUUCCGGUAGACGAUGGGGAUGCGUUCCAUUAGAUAGUAGGCGGGGUAACGGCCCACCUAGUCAACGAUGGAUAGGGGUUCUGAGAGGAAGGUCCCCCACAUUGGAACUGAGACACGGUCCAAACUCCUACGGGAGGCAGCAGUGAGGAAUAUUGGUCAAUGGGCGAUGGCCUGAACCAGCCAAGUAGCGUGAAGGAUGACUGCCCUAUGGGUUGUAAACUUCUUUUAUAAAGGAAUAAAGUCGGGUAUGCAUACCCGUUUGCAUGUACUUUAUGAAUAAGGAUCGGCUAACUCCGUGCCAGCAGCCGCGGUAAUACGGAGGAUCCGAGCGUUAUCCGGAUUUAUUGGGUUUAAAGGGAGCGUAGAUGGAUGUUUAAGUCAGUUGUGAAAGUUUGCGGCUCAACCGUAAAAUUGCAGUUGAUACUGGAUGUCUUGAGUGCAGUUGAGGCAGGCGGAAUUCGUGGUGUAGCGGUGAGAUGCUUAGAUAUCACGAAGAACUCCGAUUGCGAAGGCAGCCUGCUAAGCUGCAACUGACAUUGAGGCUCGAAAGUGUGGGUAUCAAACAGGAUUAGAUACCCUGGUAGUCCACACGGUAAACGAUGAAUACUCGCUGUUUGCGAUAUACGGCAAGCGGCCAAGCGAAAGCGUUAAGUAUUCCACCUGGGGAGUACGCCGGCAACGGUGAAACUCAAAGGAAUUGACGGGGGCCCGCACAAGCGGAGGAACAUGUGGUUUAAUUCGAUGAUACGCGAGGAACCUUACCCGGGCUUAAAUUGCACUCGAAUGAUCCGGAAACGGUUCAGCUAGCAAUAGCGAGUGUGAAGGUGCUGCAUGGUUGUCGUCAGCUCGUGCCGUGAGGUGUCGGCUUAAGUGCCAUAACGAGCGCAACCCUUGUUGUCAGUUACUAACAGGUGAUGCUGAGGACUCUGACAAGACUGCCAUCGUAAGAUGUGAGGAAGGGUGGGGAUGACGUCAAAUCAGCACGGCC